CCCCCCCCCAACGGGAAAAUCCUUAAAAAAGGCCCUGGCUCGAUUUAAGUUCUCAGUACACUGAGACGACACAACUGCAACGAUAAUUGUUAUUGAAAUUAUUGAGAAUCCUGGAUCAAAAUGUUUUACUAAUCAUAGCGGUUUAACUUUUAAACAGGUCCAGGGUUGUAGCUAUAUAGCUAUUUAAUAAUUUCUAAGUCUGUGUUAAUAAGUCUAGAAUAGUCGAUUUAUCAACG
rnacentral:lncRNA from 1 species